rnacentral:lncRNA from 1 species
GUCCAAUCACUCUCUGAAGAUCAUAGUCUUAUUUUAAACUCUAACAUUCUAAUUAGUAAUUGAUGCCAAUUUUAGGAUGCUUUAUUUUCCAAAAGCAAGGCAACUGCAUUUGCCAUAUUAUAAAGACUCAAAUUUGUUCACAUGUCCACUGCAUUUUGAAUAAAUGUUGUCCAUAAAAAGUGACAAAGGAAUCUAGACAAUUGUGUUUAACUCAAUUUCAUUACAGAAAUAUACAAUGUGUACAAUUAUAUUUUAGUUUCUUAAAAUUCA